AAAGCUCUGAAAAAUGCACAUGGCAAUUGGAUCUAUUUUGUCCGAUCGUGGGAGUGAUAAAAACAGGCUUUUUAUCUGAGAUAUUGGAAUGUUAACAACAACAACAACAACAACAAAACCAAAGGUAGUGAUCAUUCUAAAAUGCAAAACAAUGAACACACUCAAGUUGAUUUUGGAUUUGACUAUACACAUUUCUCAGAAGAGGGAACUUUCCUGUGAGUUAUCCAUGAUAGAAGAACUGGCAGGUAAGAAUUCUU
rnacentral:lncRNA from 1 species